UGUAGCUGGCCUUUACGAGGUAUGUGCACGCCUGGGUCAUCCACUCUCAACCUUUGUGCAAUUUAUGUAAGAAACGGUGUAAGCCAGCUAUUUAAUAGUUGGUAAUAAGCCUUUCUUAUGUUUACUACAAACGCUUCAGUUAUAGAAUGUUUACUGUGUAUAACACAAUUAUAUACAACUUUCAGCAACGGAUCUCUUGGCUCUCGCAUCGAUGAAGAACGCAGCGAAAUGCGAUAAGUAAUGUGAAUUGCAGAAUUCAGUGAAUCAUCGAAUCUUUGAACGCACCUUGCACUCCUUGGUAUUCCGAGGAGUAUGCCUGUUUGAGUCUCAUGGAAUUCUCAACCCCUAAAUUUUGUAAUGAAGUUUAGUGGGCUUGGACUUGGAGGGUUGUGUCGGCUUCUAGUCGACUCCUCUGAAAUGUAUUAGCGUGAAUCUUACGGAUCGCCUUCAGUGUGAUAAUUAUCUGCGCUGUGGUGUUGAAGUAUUUAUUAGUUCAUGCUUAUAAUCGUCUCUUACCGAGACAAUUUAUGACAAUCUGAGCUCAAAUCAGGUAGGACUACCCGCUGAACUUAAGCAUAUCAAUAA
rnacentral:rRNA from 1 species